rnacentral:lncRNA from 1 species
AAGGCCCAGCUGACGAUCAGAACCCUAACUCCGUCGACGCUGAAGCCAUUGAUUGCUAUAGCCGUGACCUAGAAAUCAGGUGAUGUAUAUCAUAUAUAUGUAUAUAUGUUCCAUGUAUUUACUGCUUAACCUAUUCGAGGUGAGGUAGGAAAGGAAUUUGGAUGCCAAACCUCCCAUUGUCAUAUGUUGUAGAAUUCGAUUUUUUUUAUUAGUUGAAGUAGAGUUUGUGUUUAUCUUCAUGAGAUAUGAUUUUGUGUUUAUCUUUAUGGUAGAUUUUCUGCGACUUGUCUAAUUUAUUUCUAGCUUACUGAGCACCUAGCAAACAAUAAGAAUUCCUCAGUAUUCAGACAUUUUCUUGUGAUUUGUUUUUUCUGUAUAUAAGCUGAAGUUGGGAUGUGUUCAAUAUUGGUUUUAGGGUUGCAAAAUUCCCAGAGUGUAUUGCUGCUUACUAUAGGUAUUGGCUUCUAUGCCGAAGAAAGAGGGCAUCUCUCAUGAAGAUUCCAGUAAAGAAAGUUCUUCAAAAAUUCCUGUCAAUGGUCAAUCCUCAGCUACCUCAACUGCAAAUAAUGCAAAGCAAGG